rnacentral:rRNA from 1 species
AUUGAACGCUGGCGGCAGGCCUAACACAUGCAAGUCGAGCGGAUGAAGGGAGCUUGCUCCUGGAUUCAGCGGCGGACGGGUGAGUAAUGCCUAUGAAUCUGCCUGGUAGUGGGGGAUAACGUCCGGAAACGGGCGCUAAUACCGCAUACGUCCUGAGGGAGAAAGUGGGGGAUCUUCGGACCUCACGCUAUCAGAUGAGCCUAGGUCGGAUUAGCUAGUUGGUGGGGUAAAGGCCUACCACGGCGACGAUCCGUAACUGGUCUGAGAGGAUGAUCACUCACACUGGAACUGAGACCCGGUCCAGACUCCGACGAGAAGCAGCAGUGGGGAAUAUUAGACGAUGGGGGAAAGCCUGAUCCAGCCAUGUCGCGUGUGUGAAGAAGGUCUUCGGAUUGUAAAGCACUUUAAGUUGGGAGGAAGGGCAGUAAGUUAAUACCUUGCUGUUUUGACGUUACCAACAGAAUAAGCACCGGCUAACUUCGUG